ncrna:unclassified sequences L31-Corynebacteriaceae ribosomal protein leader
ACUCGGGCACGAUCCAUGCCGAAUGAGUGUGGAACCGACCCGAAGUCCAACCCUGAGGGA